rnacentral:rRNA from 1 species
UCUGCCGUCGUUACAUGAAUGACUCGGCAGGCAACCUCCGGGAAACCAAAGUCUUUGGGUUCCGGGGGAAGUAUGGUUGCAAAGCUGAAACUUAAAGGAAUUGACGGAAGGGCACCACCAGGAGUGGAGCCUGCGGCUUAAUUUGACUCAACACGGGAAAUCUCACCAGGCCCGGACACCGGAAGGAUUGACAGAUUGAGAGCUCUUUCUUGAUUCGGUGGGUGGUGGUGCAUGGCCGUUCUUAGUUGGUGGAGCGAUUUGUCUGGUUAAUUCCGAUAACGAACGAGACUCUGGCCUACUAACUAGACGUGAGAUCAUUUAUGGUCUUUCGCAGCUUCUUAGAGGGACGGGCGGCUUUUAGCCGCACGAGAAUGAGCAAUAACAGGUCUGUGAUGCCCUUAGAUGUUCUGGGCUGCACGCGCGCUACACUGUAGGAAUCAGCGUGUGUACCCUUUCCGAGAGGAAUGGGAAACCCGUUGAACCUCCUACGUGAUGGGGAUUGGGGAUUGAAAUUAUUCCCCAUGAACGAGGAAUUCCCAGUAGGCGCGAGUCAUAAGCUUGCGUCGAUUACGUCCCUGCCCUUUGUACACACCGCCCGUCGCUACUACCGAUCGAGUGAUUUAGUGAGGCCUUUGGACUGGUCUUCGUUAUGGCUUUCGGGUCGUGACGGAGUGCCGGAAAAAUGGCCAAACUUGAUCACUUAGAGGAAGUAAAAGUCGUAACAAGGUUUCCGUA